UACGUAGGGUGCGAGCGUUAAUCGGAAUUACUGGGCGUAAAGCGUGCGCAGGCGGUUUUGUAAGCCAGAUGUGAAAGCCCCGGGCUUAACCUGGGAAUGGCAUUUGGGACUGCAAGGCUUGAGUGCGGCAGAGGAGACUGGAAUUCCGGGUGUAGCGGUGAAAUGCGUAGAUAUCCGGAGGAACACCGGUGGCGAAGGCGGCGCUCUGGACCGAGACUGACGCUGAGGCGCGAAAGCGUGGGGAGCAAACAGG
rnacentral:rRNA from 1 species